rnacentral:rRNA from 1 species
GAUGAACGCUGGCGGCGUGCCUAAUACAUGCGAGUCGAGCGAACAGAUGAGGAGCUUGCUCCUCUGACGUUAGCGGCGGACGGGUGAGUAACACGUGGAUAACCUACCUAUAAGACUGGGAUAAAUUCGGGAAACCGGAGCUAAUACCGGAUAAUAUAUUGAACCGCAUGGUUCAAUAGUGAAAGACGGUUUUGCUGUCACUUAUAGAUGGAUCCGCGCCGCAUUAGCUAGUUGGUAAGGUAACGGCUUACCAAGGCAACGAUGCGUAGCCGACCUGAGAGGGUGAUCGGCCACACUGGAACUGAGACACGGUCCAGACUCCUACGGGAGGCAGCAGUAGGGAAUCUUCCGCAAUGGGCGAAAGCCUGACGGAGCAACGCCGCGUGAGUGAUGAAGGUCUUCGGAUCGUAAAACUCUGUUAUUAGGGAAGAACAAAUGUGUAAGUAACUAUGCACGUCUUGACGGUACCUAAUCAGAAAGCCACGGCUAACUACGUG